GUAACGGGAUGAAGGCGUACUCUCUGCUCGAACAACUGCGUUCUGGUUCUACCGACCAGGCGGUUCGUGACCAGUUCAAUAGCAUGAAGAAAGACCUCGGUUACGGUCUGCUGCUGAAACGCUAUACGCCAAACGUGGCUGAUGCGACUGAAGCGCAG
rnacentral:misc_RNA from 1 species